rnacentral:hammerhead_ribozyme from 1 species
AUCCAGCUGAAGAGUCCCAAAUAGGACGAAAAGCCCCUCCUGGAU